rnacentral:SRP_RNA from 1 species
GGCUGGGCCCUGUGCAGCAGAAUCUUGUGAACCCCGCCAGAUCCGGAAGGAAGCAACGGUAAGCAGGCGAGUCUGUGUGCUACAGGAUCACCCGGCCCCG